UGGGGAAUUUUGGACAAUGGGCGCAAGCCUGAUCCAGCCAUGCCGCGUGCGGGAAGAAGGCCUUCGGGUUGUAAACCGCUUUUGUCAGGGAAGAAAUCUUCUGAGUUAAUACCGUCGGGAGGAUGACGGUACCUGAAGAAUAAGCACCGGCUAACUACGUGCCAGCAGCCGCGGUAAUACGUAGGGUGCAAGCGUUAAUCGGAAUUACUGGGCGUAAAGCGUGCGCAGGCGGUUUUGUAAGACAGAGGUGAAAUCCCCGGCUCAACCUGGGAACUGCCUUUGUGACUGCAAGGCUUGAGUGCGGCAGAGGGGGAUGGAAUUCCGCGUGUAGCAGUGAAAUGCGUAGAUAUGCGGAGGAACACCGAUGGCGAAGGCAAUCCCCUGGGCCUGCACUGACGCUCAUGCACGAAAGCGUGGGGAGCAAACAGGAUUAGAUACCCUGGUAGUCCACGCCCUAAAACGAUGUCAACUGGUUGUUGGGAAGGUUCCUUCUCAGUAACGUAGCUAACGCGUGAAGUUGACCGCCUGGGGAGUACGGCCGCAAGGUUGAAACUC
rnacentral:rRNA from 1 species